AUCAUGGUUGGAAACAAACUGCAUUUCAGCUCCUUGUAUGAGGGGUUCCUGGUAGGCUGUAAGAGCCUCGUGGAAAGCGCGUUCUUUAUCACCUUGCCAAAGAGCUGGAAGCAAGACGGUCUGUGGUCUGUCUCCUCUUAAGGAAGCAAGGCAGUCCAUUGUCACUUCCAGCUCUAGGGAAAUGUAUUACACGGCAGAGCAGAAGUACUACUUCAGCGAGAUCAAGGCUGGGAAGAAACUGUGUUUCACAGGCCUUUGCAAGAAAUGUUCCCAGUAGGCUGUAAAAGCACUGUGGAGAAUGAGUUGUUUCUUAGCUUCCCAAAGAGCAGAAAAGAUGGCACUUUGUGGCCUGUCUCCCCUUGAGGAAACAAGGCAGGACUUUACGCUUUGUACCUCUAGGGCAACAUAGGACACGGCAGAGCAGAAGCCCUACUUCAGCGAUAUCAGGUUUGGGAAGAAAUUGCGUUUCAUGGGCCCGUGUGAGAGAUGUCCCAAGUAGGCUGUAAGAGGACUGUGGAGACUGAGUUGUUUCUUAGCUUCCCAAACAGCUGGAAGCAAGACUGUUUGUGGCUUGUCUCUUAUGGUGGCAUUGACUCAGGGCUGUGUGUCUUCCAUCUCUACAGCGAUGUAGGACAUGGCUUAGAGGAUAAAUUCCAAGAUGGUGAGAUAAUGACUGGAGAGAAACUUCAUUUCAGGCCUUUUAUUGAGAGGUUCCCGGUAGGCUGUAAGAGCACUGUGCAGAGCGAGUUGUUUCUUAGCUUCCCAAAGAGCUGGAAGCAAGACUGAUUGUGGCUUGUUUCCUUUGGCGACAAUGACUCAAGGCUUUGCUUCUUCCACCUCUAGAGAAAAGUAGGACAUGGCUUAGAGCAGAACUUCCAAGGCGGUGAGAUCAUGACUGGAAACAAACUGCAUUUCACGCCUUUUUAUUAGAGGUUCCCGGUAGGCUGUAAGAGCCCUGGGGAAAGCGAGUUCUUUCUCACCUUGCCAAACAGCUGGAAGGAAGAC
rnacentral:lncRNA from 1 species